rnacentral:rRNA from 1 species
AACAGGAUUAGAUACCCUGGUAGUCCACGCCCUAAACGAUGUCUACUAGUUGUCGGGUUUUAAUUAACUUGGUAACGCAGCUAACGCGUGAAGUAGACCGCCUGGGGAGUACGGUCGCAAGAUUAAAACUCAAAGGAAUUGACGGGGACCCGCACAAGCGGUGGAUGAUGUGGAUUAAUUCGAUGCAACGCGAAAAACCUUACCUGCCCUUGACAUGGAAGGAAUCCUGGAGAGAUCCGGGAGUGCCCGAAAGGGAACCUUCACACAGGUGCUGCAUGGCUGUCGUCAGCUCGUGUCGUGAGAUGUUGGGUUAAGUCCCGCAACGAGCGCAACCCUUGUCAUUAGUUGCUACAUUUAGUUGAGCACUCUAAUGAGACUGCCGGUGACAAGCCGGAGGAAGGUGGGGAUGACGUCAAGUCCUCAUGGCCCUUAUGGGUAGGGCUUCACACGUCAUACAAUGGUACAUACAGAGGGCCGCCAACCCGCGAGGGGGAGCUAAUCCCAGAAAGUGUAUCGUAGUCCGGAUUGUAGUCUGCAACUCGACUACAUGAAGUUGGAAUCGCUAGUAAUCGCGGAUCAGCAUGUCGCGGUGAAUACGUUCCCGGGUCUUGUACACACCGCCCGUCACACCAUGGGAGCGGGUUUUACCAGAAGUAGGUAGCUUAACCGCAAGGGGGGCGCUUACCACGGUAGGAUUCGUGACUGGGGUGAAGUCGUAACAAGGUAACC